rnacentral:rRNA from 1 species
AGGGCCGCGGUAAUUUGACCGUGCGAAGGUAGCAUAAUCAUUAGCCACUUAAUUAGUGGAUGGGAUGAAGGGUUGGAUGAGAAGUAAGCUGUCUUUUCGGUAAUAAUUGAAUUUUACUUUUAAGUGAGAAGGCUUUGAUUUUAUAGAGUGAAGAUAAGACCCUAUAAAACUUUAUAUAAAAUAUAUUUUGUUUGUUUUAUAAGGUUAAAAAUAUUAUAGUUAAUUUAUAUUUCGUUGGGGCGACGGGGAUAGAAUUAGUAUCUGUUUCUUUAAUGAGUUAAUGUUAAUUAGUUGUGAUCCUUUGUAGAGAUUAAAAGAUUAAGUUACUUUAGGGAUAACAGCGUGAUUUUCUUUGAGAGUUCUUAUCGACAAGAUUAGUUGCGACCUCGAUGUUGAAUUAAAGUUAUUCUAUCAAGUGCAGUAGCUUGAAUAGUGAGUCUGUUCGACUUUUAAAAUUUUA